rnacentral:rRNA from 1 species
GCGUUGUCCGGAAUUAUCGGGCGUAAAGCGCGCGCAGGCGGCCGCUUAAGUUUGGUGUUUAAGCCCGGGGCUCAACCCCGGUUCGCACUGAAAACUGGGUGGCUUGAGUGCAGGAGAGGAAAGCGGAAUUCCACGUGUAGCGGUGAAAUGCGUAGAGAUGUGGAGGAACACCAGUGGCGAAGGCGGCUUUCUGGACUGUAACUGACGCUGAGGCGCGAAAGCGUGG